CCAUUCCAUGUGCUACCUAGGCAUUCGCUGCUUUGCAGCAUGAACGUGCUAUAGUCUACCUGGAUACUUCCUAGCUUCUCUUGACACAGGCAUAGUGCUGACCUGGCGCGAUUCAUCUUAUCCGUCAGAGGACACCUCAGAAGAGUAACCCAACCAUCCAUUUUGUCUUUACCUUCCAGUCAUGUUUUUUUGCCCUGCCUGCUCCCCUACAAGUGACGCCGGUGCAAGAAAAUGAUGGAAGGAGCCUGAUCACCAGCAGUGGUAUUUUCCGGAUUUCCACAGACGGUAGACAACUGAAGGAUCCUUGAGCAUCCCUGCUUUGGGCCUGCAGAGCCCCAGUAGUGUAUCUCUCAGCCUGUGGCCAAAUGGCCGUGAAAGUUGGCGGCUGCAACACGGUCAGCAAGCCUGAUAACGUGAUGAAUAAGCCUCAUCUUGUUCAUUUCAAAACAGGAGAGGGCUAUUUUAUCCUUGCAUGGGAAACUAGACUCCCAACCUUCUGGUGACCUUCCUGAUUUGUCAGGUUUGGGUUCAUCAACAGGGGUGGCAGGUAAACAGGGAGCAGAGACAUGCAGACAUUGGGCUCCAGUGUCCCCUCCAUAACUCAGGAUGGUCAACUGUAGUUUCAGUACGUGUCAGCAGGAUCGUACAGACCAAGGCUCCACAGAGCUGGGCACUCUAUACAUGUUGACGGCCAAUCCUCCCACUCUGAGUGCGGAGUAGGCGAAGGAACUCAGAGCUUGUUGGGGACACACUGGGUUGGCGUUUCAUUUCCUUGCCCUGAUCUUCCAUCAUGAAAAAGUAAAUACGUAUGUAAAAUUAACACUUAAAUUUUUUUUUUGGUCUGGUUAAGCCAUGCUUGCUCUGCAUCAAUAUUAAAGAUCAUUGUCAGGCUAAUCAAACAUUGUUCUCCUAACCCUUCCUGGAAGCAGAUGAGGAAACUGAAUUUUUUAGUUUUCCGGUUCUCAGGACCAAACGGUCAAGGUGACGUUCAUUUCCUGCCUUCUUGGUGUUUGUUUGUUUUCACUGUAUUUUCCAUGGUCUGAAAUGAUUUCACAGAGAUCUUUGAAUUGUAGUAAGUCAGUAUUUUUUCCUUUGUUUUCCCUGCACCCUAUACUCACUUGCUCUCCCAGAAGCAGAUGGCUAGCGCUAGAUGCGGCCUCUGGGAGUCAUUUAGCUCAAUCCUCUCCCUAUUGCCUGAGAAAGAAGGGCAAGACCUCGACCUUUACAGGCACCUACUAUUGCCAGGCACAGGACCUGUGUGACAUUUUGCAUAAUUACCUCACUUAAACCUCACAAUCGUUCUCUGGAGUGGAUGCUGUUGCUUUCAUGUUCUGGACAAGAAAACUAAAGCACAGAGAAAUGAAAUGACCUAUGUAAGAUCAUACAGCUGAGACUCCAACCCAACUUCUAGAAGACGAGUCUCUCCUGUCCACCAUCCCGGUCUGGCUCUGCCCUGCACCUGUUAACCAGAUCCGACAUUAGUUGGAAGUAGGCUUAAAGGCAAGGAGGGCUCCAGGGCAGAUAGGACGCAGGGAGUUUAAUUGAAGGUGAAAUUCUGACAACUGUUACUAAUAUUUUAUAGCUUUAAUAGAGACAUAAGUGGCAGACCAGAACAUGCCACUGGACUCGGAUGGAUUAGGAAAGGCUUUCAGCAGAUUAAAUAGAAAAAAAUGGUUAACAUUUUUAUAAGAAAAGGGAGUACCCUUUCUAAACAGGAAGAACUGGCUUGAUCAGAGCAGUUAUAUAAUUCCUGACUUCUGUCAAGGCCCUCUCUUAACUAGAUAAGUGAUAGUCUUCAUGAUCUAGUCAGCAGUUCUCCUUAGAUAAUUUAUGCACAGAUUAUUUUUGCACUACAGGCAUAUCUUGUUUUACUGCACUUUGCUUUAUUAUGUUCCGCAGAUACAGUGGUUUUUGUUUUUGCUUUUGUUUUUAACAAACUGAAGGUCUGUGGCAGCCCUGCAUCGAGCAAGUCCAUCAGUGCUGUUUUUGCAACAGCAUUUGCUCACUUCAGGUCUCCGGGUCACAUCUUGGUAAUUCUUGCACUAUUUCAAAUGUUUUCAUUAUUAUUAGAUUUAUUAUGGCAAUCUGUGACAAAUGAUAUUUGAUGUUACUAUUGUAAUUGUUGUAAGGUGCCACAAACUGUACCCAUAUAAAACAGCAAACGUGACUGA